GACAGCAGCCGCCGCGGUAAUACGAAGGGGGCUAGCGCUGUUCGGAAUUACUGGGCGUAAAGCGCACGUAGGCGGAUUUUUAAGUCAGGGGUGAAAUCCCGAGGCUCAACCUCGGAACUGCCUUUGAUACUGGAGAUCUUGAGUUCGGAAGAGGUUGGUGGAACAGCUAGUGUAGAGGUGAAAUUCGUAGAUAUUAGCUGGAACACCAGUGGCGAAGGCGGCCAACUGGCCCGAUACUGACGCUGAGGUGCGAAAGCGUGGGGAGCAAACAGGAUUAGAUACCCCAGUAGUCCCUGUCUCUUAUAC
rnacentral:rRNA from 1 species